rnacentral:sRNA from 1 species
UCAAGUGUGAGGAGUAAGGUUUGAAGGAAGAGGUACUUGGGGUCGAAACUCGGCCAGACUCCCAAGUGCCUUUUC